AGGAAACCUGCACCAGAGGAAUGGUCCAGAAGCGUGUCAGAUCGUGCACAUCCAUUUCUCGCGAAUGGAGACGGUAACCUCGAAAGAUAUAUUCUUAUGUAUUCUGGUCACCAUUGAAACCUUUCGCUCCGAGCUUAAAACCGGUUGACCAGCAAAGUUGGUGAAGUUAUUCUAUCCACGACGCUUUGAUAGCGAAAAAAGAAAGCUUUUGAGGUGAAACGUUUGGCGCCAUCUUGGAAUUUCGUUAUGUGAACACAAACACAUAAUAACCAUGACUAUUUGGGUAGGCUCACUGAGGAAAGGCAGGAGAUUCCACACAGUAGGCCCUCUAUAGGAUAAGAGGCACUGAAGCGUGAGAAAUCAAAGUUUAAGCGGCGAAUAUCAAACGCAUAUAAACUAAGGGAUUUAGAUACGACAAUCAAAGAGCUCAACAAGCUUGUUGAAGCAGUAGUGAAAGUGAAGUUUGGAGGUAUUCGUGAUUGACGAAAAUAUUGCAUCGGCCAACUUUACUCCAUUCUAGAAAGAUGCAUGAUUCACGCAAAGACUGCGAUAUAUGCCGUCUUAGCUUAAGAAUGAGCAAACUACAUCUGUGGAUGGUUUGCUUUGAACUUCCCAUUUCCACAGGAGGUCUUCGAUCUUUUGCAGAAGGAGAUUCUUGGUUUAACAAGGUAUGGGAUAGAGGUUGAAACCAAACUGAGAUCUGUGGCUAUAACAUUUUCAAGCCUGAGAAGGUUAUGCGAUCUUUUUGACAAAUUUGAAGUUUGUGGUGGAUUCAGAAAAGAACUUGGUGAAGGAAAGGAGAGGCAAAACUAUUUGUCAAUGAUCAGAAGAUGGGAACUAUGAUCUACAAUGGUAAAGAGGUGAUUUUGAGAGCAAAGCUUCAUUAUGGUUACUGGAAUUCCUUUGGGAUCAGUCAACAUUGAAUAGAGGACUCAUAUUAUUGACACAUGCCAUUGCUCAAUCAUUUUUCUUGAAUGAUUUCAGGGAAAAACAUCUCAAUAGUCCCUCAUCAAUUUUUUUUUUACAAAAAUAUAUACUCUAACAUCUUAAAAUUCAUGUUUGUUGAUUACAAUGUGGUUUGUCUGACAUAAUAACUAAAACCUAGAAUUGCAUGGAACACCAACUGAAUUACAGUUUAUUGUUUAACUGAUAGAGUUGCCAUUUAUUUAGAAUAGUAUAUCCUUUAAUGAUAAGAUUUUAUGAAACAAUUACACAUUACAAGGCUGUGCUGUAAGAAAAACGUUUGGCUGCCCCUACGUCAGGUGAAAACAUAGCCUACAAUGCUACACAGCUGAACUUCAAAAAAGACAGUCCUUCUGGAAAAUAAGAAAUGUUAUAUAAUUAGUCAACUCAGUUGAAUAUAUUAGUCUUGUAGGGCAGCCAGGUGAUUGCUCUAUGGUACAGCCUUGCAUAACAUACUCAGGAUGACAUUGCAUCUUGAGGUAAUACAUGCUAAAUUCAUUUGGAGUACCUCAAACAUUCUUGUGUUGGUUUGCCAUCACAUACAGAUUUCUUAAUCUCCUGCAUGAGUUUAUGCCCACAGAAUAAGCAAUGUUCACUGUCAGCUUGGUUGUGUACCACUCGCGUGUAUUGUGGCAUCUGCAUUCGCUGUCCAUCACAUGUGAUGUGUGAGAAUUUACGCGCUUUCUGGUACGCCCUUAACACAUUCUGCUCGAAAAAAGGCUCUUCUGCUCAGAAUUGACUUCCAAAAUAGAGUAUUCUGAUCAAAAUUAUGCUCCCAAAGUAUUAUUAUGCUCAAAUUAUUUAAUCAUGACAAAUGCCUCCUUUCUUUAAAAAAAUGUAAUAAAUUAUUUAUUUAUCUUUUAUUUAAUUAAUACAAUUUUAUUUAAUUAAUGACAACUAAAUAAAUCUAAAUGUACAAACAAAGAAAGCCUUGAGGAUAAUCUGUAAAAGAGUGGAACACCCCAUGCAAGACAGAUCACCGUGUAGCUAAUUUAAAUAAGUCAAAUAUAAUGAGGGACAGAAAAAUUUUAGAUCAAAAAUAAAAACAUCAAUGUUCCUUACUUGAAAACUUUCUCACUCUAGACUUAAAAACUGCAAGACUGGGAGAUAAUCU